rnacentral:rRNA from 1 species
GUAGGUGAACCUGCGGAAGGAUCAUUACCGUUGGAGCUUGCUCCAUCUGGGAUAGAACCCUUGAUUUUGAGUACCUUUUCGUUUCCUCGGCGGGUCCGCCCGCCGGUGGACAACCAAAACUCUUUGUAAUAGCAGUAUCUUCUGAAAAAAACAAAUAGUCAAAACUUUCAACAACGGAUCUCUUGGUUCUGGCAUCGAUGAAGAACGCAGCGAAAUGCGAUAAGUAGUGUGAAUUGCAGAAUUCAGUGAAUCAUCGAAUCUUUGAACGCACAUUGCGCCCUUCGGUAUUCCGUUGGGCAUGCCUGUUCGAGCGUCAUUUUAACCUUCAAGCAUAGCUUGGUGUUGGGUGCUUGUCCCCCCUAGUGGCGGACUCACCUCAAAUGCAUUGGCGGCCGGCAUGUUGGCUUCGAGCGCAGUACAACGCGCCUGGUGUCUAGACGUGCUGGUCCUCCACAAGGCCUUCUUUAAUCUUGACCUCGGAUCAGGUAGG